rnacentral:rRNA from 1 species
CCUACGGGAGGCAGCAGUGGGGAAUCUUGCGCAAUGGGCGAAAGCCUGACGCAGCCAUGCCGCGUGAAUGAUGAAGGUCUUAGGAUUGUAAAAUUCUUUCACCGGGGGACGAUAAUGACGGUACCCGGAGAAGAAGCCCCGGCUAACUUCGUGCCAGCAGCCGCGGUAAUACGAAGGGGGCUAGCGUUGCUCGGAAUUACUGGGCGUAAAGGGAGCGUAGGCGGAUAGUUUAGUCAGAGGUGAAAGCCCAGGGCUCAACCUUGGAAUUGCCUUUGAUACUGGCUAUCUUGAGUAUGGGAGAGGUUAGCGGAACUCCGAGUGUAGAGGUGAAAUUCGUAGAUAUUCGGAAGAACACCAGUGGCGAAGGCGGCUAACUGGCCCAUUACUGACGCUGAGGCUCGAAAGCGUGGGGAGCAAACAGGAUUAGAUACCCUGGUAGUCCACGCCGUAAACGAUGAGUGCUAGUUGUCGGCAUGCAUGCAUGUCGGUGACGCAGCUAACGCAUUAAGCACUCCGCCUGGGGGAGGUACGGUCGCGAGAGUAAACUAACUAAUAGUUAGUUAGUAGNGUUGAGAGNGCGAGGACGACGACGAGGGAGAGG